GACGAAGGGGGCUAGCGUUGUUCGGAAUUACUGGGCGUAAAGCGAGUGUAGGUGGUUGUUCAAGUUGGAUGUGAAAGCCUUGGGCUUAACCCAAGAAAUGCAUUCAGGACUGAGCGACUAGAGGACCGGAGAGGAUAGUGGAAUUCCCAGUGUAGUGGUGAAAUACGUAGAGAUUGGGAAGAACACCAGUGGCGAAGGCGGCUAUCUGGACGGUUUCUGACACUAAGACUCGAAAGCGUGGGGAGCAAACAGG
rnacentral:rRNA from 1 species